rnacentral:rRNA from 1 species
GACGAACGCUGGCGGCGUGCUUAACACAUGCAAGUCGAACGGAAAGGCCCUGCUUUUGUGGGGUGCUCGAGUGGCGAACGGGUGAGUAACACGUGAGUAACCUGCCCUUGACUUUGGGAUAACUUCAGGAAACUGGGGCUAAUACCGGAUAGGAGCUCCUGCUGCAUGGUGGGGGUUGGAAAGUUUCGGCGGUUGGGGAUGGACUCGCGGCUUAUCAGCUUGUUGGUGGGGUAGUGGCUUACCAAGGCUUUGACGGGUAGCCGGCCUGAGAGGGUGACCGGCCACAUUGGGACUGAGAUACGGCCCAGACUCCUACGGGAGGCAGCAGUGGGGAAUAGUGCACAAUGGGCGGAAGCCUGAUGCAGCAACGCCGCGUGCGGGAUGACGGCCUUCGGGUUGUAUACCGCUUUCGCCUGUGACGAAGCGUGAGUGACGGUAAUGGGUAAAGAAGCACCGGCUAACUACGUG